rnacentral:misc_RNA from 1 species
CAACCAUCAAGCCCCAGGCUUGUGUUGGGGACCUGCGGCUGCCGCAGGCCCUGAAAACCAGUGGCGGGCUCGCUGUCACACCGGGCGUAGUAGAUUUUAUCUCGCUCAGGGCGUGCUGCGGGUUCCGGCCGUUAAAAAGCCUUUUUUACCCAA